ensembl:lncRNA
AUUUAAAAUCAAAUCCAACCCAAGAAGCUUGGUUUUCUCCUAUUCACUGUUCCCACUGUGCAGGUGGGCCCUGAAUUCUCAUGCAGAGAUGAAACAGAGAAAGUGAAUUUGUCUGCCUGGGCACUGUCCCCAAGAGGCGAAAUAACGUUACCUAAAGCAAAGCCUGGACUGUACUAGCGAACACUACACCAAGAAGCAGUGGCACAUAAGGGAAGUUUCCUUCUCUUUGGGGAAUCAUAAAUAAAAUAGUGGUGUAAUCAAAGGACAGAAGAAAACAGAGACUUCAGACUCAUCUCUAUUUGGAUUACAGAAAUGAAGUGCAAAAUUGUACAUUGAGGGAACAAUACUUGCACUGAUGUUAGGCAGACAGCUAAAAGGUCAACAAGUUCCCCUGGUUGCCUUUUGUCAAGGGUUUUUGACUUGCCUGUGAAUAAAGAUCUCCCAGGAGGAAGGCAGACCUGAAUUUCCUGUCAUCUAGAAGACAG